rnacentral:rRNA from 1 species
CCUACGGGAGGCAACAGUGAGGAAUAUUGGUCAAUGGACGUAACUCUGAACCAGCCAUGCCGCGUGCAGGAAGACGGAUCUAUGUGUUGUAAACUGCUUUUGUACGAGGGAAAACGCAGACUCGCGCUUCUGUCUGAACGUCUUGUACGAACAAGCCUCGGCUAACUCCGUGCCAGCAGCCGCGGUAAUACGGCGGAUUCAAGCGUUAUCCGGAUUUAUUGGGUUUAAAGGGUGCGUAGGCGGUCGGUUAAGUUAGCAGUGAAAUCCCGGGGCUCAACUUCGGGAUUGCCUUUGAAACUGUACGGCGGGAGAGCAGGAGCGGUAGGCGGAAUGUAUAGUGUAGCGGUGAAAUGCGUAGAGAUCAGACAGAACACC